UGAAGGCUUUCAAGUACAAGAAGACUUGGAAGCAUGUCAACCAUUGCGGAAAAUGGACUGACAAUAGAGAAACAACCUGACCAAAUUGGAAAGAACGAAUCACAAAUUCGACCAAUUCACAACCAGCGGAGGAUUUCAUCAACUACGAUUCACUGGAGGAGAUGAAUGAAUUCGUCAGAAGUAACAACUGGCGACCGUCAGCUAAUGCUAUUUUGCCUGGUCCGGUGAUCUAGUUGCGAGAUCCAACAACAAUCGUUUCAAUUUGUCGGCAGUGAACAUCGAUGAUUAUGAUAUCAGGAAGAUGGAGACCACAAUUUGUCGAUGGUGACACUUAACCAAGAAUUAGUGUUCUAUUUUUAGGAAGUUAAAUUUUUAGAAUUUAUAAAAUUUGUAGUAGUAAUUUUAAAAUUUUUAGUAGAAUUUACUAGUAGUAUUUGAAUUUCGUUAUUCACGAAUGAGUUUUGUUUAGCGAUGAGAAAAAUAGGAAAACCCGUAUUUGGGUUGGACUGCACACUAAAAUUGGGAAAUCGGCAGUCAGUCAUCCUUUCUUCAAAUUCUCCCUCCCUCGAUUUCCUGAAAUUUCUCAACUUCUUCCAUUCCAAAAACCCUAAUCCUCAAUGGAAAAAUCUCAUCGAUCUUCUGUUCAUCGCGCUUUAGGCGGUGGUGCAGUUGCUGAUGUGAUACUUUGGAGAAAAUGGACUCACACCGCCGCUUUUCUCGUGGUCUCAACUGCGCUUUGGUUCCUAUUCGAGAGGGCUGGAUACAAUUUACUGUCAUUCAUGUCGAAUGUUUUAUUGCUGCUCAUCGUGAUACUAUUCUGCUGGGCUAAAUCUGCGUCGAUUCUUAAUAGACCACUGCCGCCUCUCCCUAAUCUUGAAAUUUCAGAAGAGACUUCUGCCAAGGCUGCUGAUGAGAUGCGAGUCUGGGUAAAUUAUGCGUUGUCAAUUGCACAUGACAUUGCAGUUGGUGGAAACUGGAGAGUUUUUUUGAAGGUUGCUAUACUAUUGUGGGUAAUUUCCUACAUUGGAAGUUUCUUCAACUUUCUCACGAUGAUUUACAUCUGCGUUCUUGUUAGUUUAUCACUUCCUGUGCUGUAUGACAAGUACCAAAGUCCAAUUGAUGAUAAGUUGAGUGUUGCAUAUAAUAUUGCUCGGAUACAGUAUGAGAAGAUCUAUAGUCUGGUACUUCAAAAGAUUCCUUUGCCUUUGAAGAAGGAGAAGAAGACCGAGUAAACUCAUUGUAAUUUCUUCUCCCUAUGUAUAAAUGUCCAUUUGUCUCGUCAUACAUGUAUUCUUCUGAGUGUACUAUGGCUAGCUGCUGCAUGAUCCAUUUACCCCAGGUCUAUUUUGUGAAAUUCAUAUAUUGAUGUCAUUUUUUCCCUUUUACUUUCUGACGAAGUGCUUGCCGUCUGCUUCCUGGAAAUAUGUUUAACGAUAAGGUGCCUUCUUCUUGGUUGCUUUGCAUUCUAAUUGCGACCGUUGAAUCAAAUUUUUAGAACAUCAGUGAACGGAGGCUGUCAGCCAGUAUAGUAAGAAGUUUAUGGAAGUCUUUAACCGCGUGCUCUUUUAUUUCUUGUUUUCAUUACAGUUACUGGUUUCAUGGUGAUAUCAGCCGUUGUUAGCUUAACAGUUACAACUGAAAUUUUUGAACAAGUAAUCAUUAGUAUGUUAGUUUGGUUGGUAAGGAUUUGGUUGUAACAUUGAUAUAUGCAAUUUGUGCAACUCUUGUGUAUACUAUUGCUGUGGUGCUAAUUCGAUUUCAAUGGAAAUUAUAAUGAUCA